UACGUAGGGGGCAAGCGUUGUCCGGAGUUACUGGGCGUAAAGCGCACGCAGGCGGUCGAUUAAGUUUGGAGUGACAGUUGGUGGCUUAACUGCCAAAGUGCUUCGAAAACUGAUCGACUUGAGGGCUUCAGAGGGACACGGAAUUCCGGGUGGAGUGGUGAAAUGCGUAGAUAUCGGGAGGAACACCAGUGGCGAAGGCGACUUUCUGGCCUGUUCUUGACGCUGAGGCGCGAAAGCUAGGGGAGCAAACGGG
rnacentral:rRNA from 1 species